ACGGGAGGCAGCAGUGAGGAAUAUUGGUCAAUGGGCGGAAGCCUGAACCAGCCAAGUCGCGUGAAGGAUGAAGGUAUUAUGUAUUGUAAACUUCUUUAGACGCAGAGAAAUAAGGAGGUCGUGACCUCUGAUGCUAGUAUGCGUAGAAUAAGGAUCGGCUAACUCCGUGCCAGCAGCCGCGGUAAUACGGAGGAUCCGAGCGUUAUCCGGAUCUAUUGGGUUUAAAGGGUGCGUAGGCGGGAUGUUAAGUCAGCGGUGAAAGUUUGCGGCUCAACCGUAAAAUUGCCGUUGAAACUGGCGUUCUUGAGUGUAAACGAGGUAGGCGGAAUGUGACGUGUAGCGGUGAAAUGCUUAGAUAUGUCACAGAACCCCGAUUGCGAAGGCAGCUUACCAGCAUACAACUGACGCUGAGGCACGAAAGCGUGGGUAUCAAACAGGAUUAAUACCCUGGUA
rnacentral:rRNA from 1 species